AAGUCGUAACAAGGUUUCUAUAGGUGAACCUGCGGAAGGAUCAUUAAUGAAAAGUUCUUCUGGACCGGUCAUCACCCCAUUGUCUACACCCCAUUAUUACCUGCUUCCACUGGACAGGCCGACCCGUCAAAAGGUAGGCCCUCUAGCAUGCCUCCAAGCCGCCGCCGUUGGCCUUAAAACCAUCGUCGUCGACUUGGGUGUUGCUGGGGAGCGCCGGUGGUUAGCCCAUAACUUUGCUUGCAAAGAAACAAAUACUUGAACUAUAGCAAUUUUGUCUGAACCGAUUUUUUAUAAAAACCUUAUAAAACUUUCAACAACGGAUCUCUAGGCUCUU
rnacentral:misc_RNA from 1 species